CCCCAACUAGCUCUGUUGGUAGAGCAUGAGAUUCAUAAUCUCAGGGUGGUGGGUUCAUGUCCCGUGUUGGGUG
rnacentral:tRNA from 1 species